AUUGAACGCUGGCGGCAGGCCUAACACAUGCAAGUCGAACGAGUGGCGGACGGGUGAGGAAUGUCUGGGAAACUGCGUGAUGGAGGGGGAUAACUACUGGAAACGGUAGCUAAUACCGCAUACCAUCGGAUGUGCCCAGAUUGGAUUAGCUAGUAGGUGGGGUAAUGGCUCACCUAGGCGAGGAUUCCUAGAUGGUCUGAGAGGAUGACCCGCCACACUGGAACUGAGACCCGGUCCUGACUCCUACGAGAGGACGCAGUGGUGAAUCUUGCACAAUGGUCGCAAGCCUGAUGCAGCCAUGCCGCGGGUGUGAAGAAGGCCUUCGGGUUGUAAAGCACUUUCAGCGAGGAGGCGUUACUCGCAGAAGAAGCACCGGCUAACUCCGUGCCAGCAGCCGCGGUAAUAC
rnacentral:rRNA from 1 species